GACGAACGCUGACGGCGUGCUUAACACAUGCAAGUCGAACGGAAAGGCCCUGCUUUUGUGGGGUGCUCGAGUGGCGAACGGGUGAGUAACACGUGAGUAACCUGCCCUUGACUUUGGGAUAACUUCAGGAAACUGGGGCUAAUACCGGAUAGGAGCUCCUGCUGCAUGGUGGGGGUUGGAAAGUUUCGGCGGUUGGGGAUGGACUCGCGGCUUAUCAGCUUGUUGGUGGGGUAGUGGCUUACCAAGGCUUUGACGGGUAGCCGGCCUGAGAGGGUGACCGGCCACAUUGGGACUGAGAUACGGCCCAGACUCCUACGGGAGGCAGCAGUGGGGAAUAUUGCACAAUGGGCGGAAGCCUGAUGCAGCAACGCCGCGUGCGGGAUGACGGCCUUCGGGUUGUAAACCGCUUUCGCCUGUGGCGAAGCGUGAGUGACGGUAAUGGGUAAAGAAGCACCGGCUAACUACGUG
rnacentral:rRNA from 1 species